AGAGUUUGAUCCUGGCUCAGAUUGAACGCUGGCGGCGUGCUUAACACAUGCAAGUCGUGCGAGAAAGGGGGCUUCGGUCCCUGAGUAGAGCGGCGCACGGGUGAGUAACGCGUGGAUUAUCUCCCUCAUUGUUUGGGAUAACGGCGGGAAACUGCCGCUAAUACCGGAUACGCUCCAAUUUCGGUUGGGGGAAAGGCGGCCUCUGCUUGCAAGCUGUCGCAAUGAGAUGAGUCCGCGUCCCAUUAGCUUGUUGGUGGGGUAAUGGCCCACCAAGGCAACGAUGGGUAGCUGGUCUGAGAGGAUGAUCAGCCACACUGGAACUGAAACACGGUCCAGACUCCUACGGGAGGCAGCAGUGGGGAAUAUUGCGCAAUGGGGGAAACCCUGACGCAGCGACGCCGUGUGAGGGAAGAAGGCUUUCGGGUCGUAAACCUCUGUCAGGAAGGAAGAACCUCUCAAGGCUGAACAAGCCUUGGGACUGACGGUACUUCCAGAGGAAGCACCGGCUAACUCCGUGCCAGCAGCCGCGGUAAUACGGAGGGUGCAAGCGUUAAUCGGAAUCACUGGGCGUAAAGCGCGCGUAGGCCGUCUUUUAAGUCGGACGUGAAAGCCCUCGGCUCAACCGGGGAACUGCGUUCGAUACUGGGAGACUUGAGUCCUGGAGAGGGGUGGCGGAAUUCCGGGUGUAGGAGUGAAAUC
rnacentral:rRNA from 1 species